rnacentral:ncRNA from 2 species
CCCUCCGAGGGGUGCUGCAGCGGUUCGAAGGUCCAAUUCCCGCCAGGCUCGGAUGUCCAAACGGCACCCAUUCAUU